ACGUGCGCAGUUAUACGGUUGCUAUGCGAGAGCAGACGAUUCUCAUGGAACAGGUAACUACAGCAAAGCCCUAAGAUGUUAUUUCUCACUAUCGAGCAAAACAGAUAUUUGAUGUAUGGCACUGCUGGUGAUUAUUGUUUCUUGGCUUAGAAGAUGGAUAUACUGAAAUGAACCUGAUGAUACUCAAGAAAUUCCAGAAACUACUUCAACGACAGGAAUGUAUUUGUAGAUCAGAGCCAAGUUUUAUCAAAGAAAUGAAUUUAGGUUUUCCAGGCUAGUAACUGACGCUAACGAUUUGAAAUCGGAAGAAGCAGCCUUUUUAUGUUUUGUUUUGCUGUGGUAUAGAAAAAUAAUGAAACAAUACAUUUUACUCAUUUUUCUCAACUUCUUUAUUCAAGCAGUCACAGUUGGUAAUAGAGAAAAAACAAUUAGGCCACAGUUUACCACUGAGCCGCCAUUCAAAGUUGUCUUCUCCAACAAGAAGGGUGUUCGUAUCCCUUGCUCAGCCAACGGCGAUCCCCGUCCCCUCAUCUACUGGGUCAACUUAGAUGGCUCUCCUAUCACAAACAUUGCCGGUAUCCGAAUGGUUGAACCUGAUGGUCAUCUGGUUUUUCUGUCGUUUUUUCCAAACCAGUACCGAGACGAUACCCAUAACACAGUCUACCGUUGCGUGGCCAGCAACCAUAGGGGAAUGAUUGGAAGCAGGGCUGUUAACGUGACUGCUGUCAUUGAACAACCAUACGAGGUCAACGUAUAUGACGAGAGGGCUUUUCUCCACAACUCUGUGGUGAUGACAUGUAUUAUUCCUUCGUUCAUCCGGGAACACGUGGAAGUGACGAAGUGGAUUCGAGAAGAUGGAUUUAGCAUAAGUACAGAAUCUCAUUAUGGUAUUGGGUAUUAUAUCUUACUCUCUGGAGACUUGCUUAUUAAAGAAGUUGAUAGUGAGAACAGCAGAUACGGCUACAGCUGUCGGUCAAGAAGUAAAGUUACUGGAGAAACUGUUGAUAGUGUCACCGCGGGACAAGUGAUAGUCUCAGAGGUGCACACCCCAGUUCCACCACAAAUUGUUUACAAAGAUACCCAAGUAGAGUCAUCCGAGGGGGAGAAGACAGUGUUAGCCUGCGUGGCCCAAGGCUAUCCUGCUCCCUUGUGCAGCUGGUCCAAGUGGGAAGGUAGUGAGUUGAUUCCGGUGUAUUCAGACUCCAGAAGACGGAUGUUAGGAUGUAGUCUAGAAAUAAACAGGGUUACCUCUGAAGACAGCAGUCGAUAUAUUUGUGAAGCAAAUAACACUGUUGGUAAAGAUGUGUCUGAAACCAAGCUAGUUGUCUAUGUCCCACUUCGUGUAGAGGUGUUACCUACUACUCAGACUGUUAACAUAGGAGAAACUGUACGAUUCAGCUGCUCCGUGACAGGAUUUCCUGUCCAGAAAGUGAUCUGGAUGAAGGAUGUUCAGCCGUUACAGCCAAGUGGGCGGAAACGAAUACUGUACAACAAUGUUCUUGAAAUCAGUCCUAUCGUUAGGCAAGACAAGGGAAUAUACCAGUGCUUUGUCUCAAAUAGCAUUUCCUCGGAGCAAUCAUCAGGUGCCUUAUUACUAUCAGAAGAAGCACCUGUUUUUAGAGAGAUCUUUCAAUCAACUACCCUUCAACCAAACACUUUUGUUUCUUUGCGAUGUGCUGCUAGUGGUAACCCUCUUCCACAGAUAACAUGGAAGCUGGACGAAUUAUCUCUACCUGACAUUCUAAGGUUAAGAGUUGGUGAUUUUGUAACCCACAAUGGUUACGUCGUCAGUCACGUCAACAUAUCCAACGUCAGACCAGAAGACGGUGGGACCUAUAGUUGUAAUGCUAGCAAUGAAGUUGGUACAACUGUGUACCAUGCAAGAGUGAACAUAUAUGGACCGCCUGUAAUACGAACACUGAAGAAUCGCACCAUUCUGGCCGGAAGCUCUUUAGUUAUAUACUGUCCUGUAGGAGGCUUUCCUAUUACAAAAAUUAGCUGGAAAAAAGACAACAAACAACUUCCACAAAACCAUCGACAGAGAGUUUUUGAAAAUGGUACCCUAGUGGUGAACGAUGUUACCAGAAAAACUGACCAGGGUACUUACACGUGUAUUGCUUGGAACAAGCAAGGAAACACUGCAACUCAAGACGUUUUUGUGGAAGUUAGCGUUGCCCCAAAGAUCAAUCAAUUCGAUUUCUCUUCAGACCUAGAAGAAGGUAUGAGAAGUAUUGUUAUGUGUGCUGUCAUAGCUGGAGAUCCACCAAUCAGAAUUUCUUGGCUAAAAGACGGGAAACCUUUAUCUCCUGGUGCUCUGGGAGCUUCAGUGGAGUCACUUAAUGAAUACAGUUCUACCUUAACUUUUAAUGCAGUUAAGGCUUAUCACGCUGGAAAUUAUACAUGUGUGGCCCGAAACUCUGCAGCAGUUGUGAACUUUACUGCUGAGAUGGUCGUCAAUGUUGCUCCUUAUUGGAAAAUAGAACCUACUGACCAGUCAACUGUAGCUGGAAAAACCCUCAUGAUUAAUUGUCAGGCUGGUGGUUUUCCUCUUCCACAAAUACGGUGGAAAGUUAAAUCAGGCACCUCAAGAACUUUUCAUACAGUAGUCAGCAAUCCUCACAUCCAUACACUAGAGAAUGGUUCACUGCUUGUCAGAGGUGUUCACUUGAAUGACAGCGGUCAGUACAUGUGCCAAGCAGCCAACGAAAUAGGUCCAGAUUUAAGUGUGGUUAUCACCUUAUCAGUUCACAUACCACCCCAUAUUAAGACUCAGUUCCAGUCAGUAACAGUACAGAAAAGUAAAGCAGUUAACCUGAGUUGUGAGGUUCUAGGAGAUAGACCACUGAGUAUCAAGUGGACCAAAAAUGGACAGCAUUUGGAUCUACAGAACAGACAUCAAAGGUACACAUUCUCUCAGGUUGUGAUGGACAGUAGUAUUUUGUCCACCUUCAAAAUCAUCUCAGCUAAGAGAGAGGAUACAUCCUUGUUUGGGUGCUCUGCCGAGAACAAUUAUGGACAAGACCAAAUGAGCUUUCAAGUAAUAGUACAAGAUGUACCUGAUGCACCACAAGACUUAAAAGCUAUACAGGUAACAAGUCGAUCAGUUACAGUAGCCUGGCAACAACCAUAUAGUGGCAACUUACCACUUAAAAAGUAUAUUGUUCAGUACACAACAGACACAGAGGAAUGGACAAGAAAACAAUCAGUUUUGUCUGUUUCAAACAUGAAAACUGAAGCUACUGUAGGAGGAUUAUCUCCUCAGAUGUCUUACAAAAUUAGAAUCUUGGCUGAGAAUUCCCUUGGACAUGGGCCACCGAGUAAAGUCUUAGCCUUUACUACUGAAAAAGCAGCUCCUACAACACCAGUUAAUGACAUACGAGUAGAACCAACAAGCUCUCACUCACUGCACAUUACAUGGAAGCCACCCACAUCAAAUACAGUGGAAGGAUACUAUAUUGGUUAUAAGAUCUGGACAUCCAAUAAUGGUUUCACCUACAAAACUGUGGAGGCAACUGGAGAAGAAAAACAGAUGUACACCCUAACCAAUCUAAGACGUUUCACCAAGUAUGUCAUCCACAUUCAGGCCUAUAACAGUGCUGGACGAGGGCCUUUAUCAAACGAAGUACUUAGACAAACUUUAGAAUAUGAUCCUCCUAAUGCUCCAGAUUUAAAGUUAGUUUCCGAUUCAUCUAGAACUAUUCAUCUGUAUUGGGAGGACACAAACCAAUCACCAGUUAUAAGCUACAUCAUCUACUACAAGGAAGUGCAAAAUGAAUGGAAAGUUAUUGAGGUCCCUGGAAAAAAUACAACAUACACCAUCAGUAAUCUUCGAUGUGGAACUCAAUACGAGGUUUACUUAAUGGCCACUAAUACAGCUGGUUCCAGCAAUCCUAGUGAAGUGCUUUCUGUAAAAACCUCUGGAACAGUUCCCAGGGCACCAGAUAAGUACAGUUUUUUAACCAUCAACUCAACCUUUGUAGUUCUUCAUCUAUACGUUUGGAAGACCAGUGGAUGCCCUGUUGACUUCUUUGUGAUCCAGAUGAAGGUGCAAGGACAGUCAACGUGGCAGCUAGUUUCAGACAAUGUUUCUCCCCAAAGACAAGAAUUUUGUGUGCCAAACUUAAAUCCAGGAUCCUGGUACAAUCUACUUGUGAGUGCACACAACAGUGCUGGUUCCACUGAUGCUGAGUAUGUGUUUUCCACACUUACUGAGAUGGGAGCAACAGUUUCUCCUCCACUUCCAGCACAAACAAGUUCACAAACACAAAUGUACAGGUGGCUUACCCUAAUUAUUCCUGUAGUUUGUGCUGUUGUUAUAGUGAUGGUUGUUACAGUGAUCAUAUGUCUGUUACAUACUCGACGACAUAGGCCUAAUAAUCACCAGAGAUCACCUGCAGAGGCUGGAGAUCCCCACAUGAUGCAGAAAGAAGCCUUAAACAUGACUGCUUUAAGUACAAAAAUACAGUUUUGCCCCCGAGAUUCAACUUGCUACCCAUCCCCUUAUGCCAUGACUCGAGUUCCAGGCUAUCCACAAGAUGAUGGUAGUGACGGUGGGAGUCAACUGUCUGAUGCACGAUCACCUGGUGAAACACAUAGAAGUCACACGUAUGAUGUCCCCUUUCUAGUGAGACAAGUUGGUGGGGAAAGAUGUGUACAAACUGAGAGAGUUGCUUUGUCUCCCAUCCCAGCUCUGAAUAUAUACCAAGUUCCUCAAACUGCUACCACUGAACAAGCUGGAGGCACUUCACUGGCUGGUAGUCAAGAUCAGAGAUUUUCUACAAUGUCUGACUCAGGUGUUCUUGGUCCAAAGUCUGUUCCAUCCUCUAGAAGAUGGUCCAGUGGCUAUAGGGGAUCAUUAGGUCAAAGGUCACAACAGAGGCCAUGUAUUCAAGAAUACAGAAGGUGCACAGGUUCUGAUACUGACAGUGAUACAGAGCUAACUCCUUCUCAGAUGAGAGAUGGUGACAUAAUCCAAGAGAUGUCAGAGACUGAAUGUGAUCUUGAUGCAAAACAAGUAGCAGCUGGUUCAGGUUCAAAACAAUCCACAAGGGUCAACGCUCACUAACGACAAUAGAGUGCAAAAACUAAUUAGAAAAAAACGACUUUCAAGAAUUGAACUUUGAUGAAUGAGCAUGUUUCUUCAAUCAGUGAGAAGUAACCCUGACAAAGUAAUAAACAACUCAGAGUUGCCAUCCCACCAGAGCUCCACCAGAGUGUUGGAGGGCACAUUACAAAUGUCCACUGAUGUAGAUGAGAUUUU
rnacentral:misc_RNA from 1 species